AUAUAUUCUGUGAACCGCAUUAAGAUUUUCACACAAAAAUAGAAAAAAAAACUAUAAAUUUUGGGGGUACCCAUACGUAGAACUAAAACUCAAAAUUUAUUUUACAUCAAACCCAUACGUGUGGGGUAUCUAUGGAUAGGUCUUCAAAAAUGAUAUUCAGGUUUCUAAUAUUAUUUUUUUCUAAACUGAAUAGCUUGCGCGAGAGACACUUUCAAAGUGGUAAAAAGUGUGUCCCCCCCCCCCUGUGACUUUUAAAUUAAGAGAAUGAUAAAACUGAAAAAAAUAUAUGAUGUACAUUACCAUGCAAACUUCCACCGAAAAUUGGUUUGAACGAGAUCUGGUAAGUAGUUUUUUUUUAAUACGUCAUAAA